rnacentral:lncRNA from 1 species
UCCCUCUCGGAUAGCGAAUCUCAUCCCUUGCUCACAAGCAAUUGGCAUAAUAAGCUCGACCACCAUCUUCACUCGGUCGCCAGGCAUCACCAUCUUCGAUUCUUCAUCCUUGUCAUUCAUGAUCGUAGACACCCUCCCUGUAACAUCGGUUGUCCUCAUGUAAAACUGUGGCCUGUACCCUGCAAAAAAGGGGGAAUGCCUUCCACCCUCCUCCUUCUUCAACACGUACACAAUGGCUAUAAACUUUGUGUGCGGAGUAAUAGUCCCUGGCUUAGACAAAACCAUCCCCCUCUGGAUAUCUACCUUUUGAAUGCCUCUUAACAACAACCCCACAUUGUCCCCAGCCAACGCCUCGUCCAAAGUCUUUUGAAACAUCUCAACACCAGUCACAGUAGUAUUCCUAGUCUCUCUAAGUCCGACAAUAUCCACAGUGUCCCCAAUCCUAAUAGUCCCUCUCUCUACCCUGCCGGUAGCAACGGUACCUCUACCCGUGAUAGUAAAAACAUCCUCAAUAGCCAUCAAGAAUGGUAAAUCAGUCUGCCUCUGAGGAAUAGGAAUAUAUUCAUCAACAGAAUC